GGUCCCCUACGGGAGGCAGCAGUGAGGAAUAUUGGUCAAUGGUCGGGAGACUGAACCAGCCAAGCCGCGUGAGGGAUGAAGGCACAGAGUAUCGUAAACCUCUUUUGUCAGGGAACAAAGGCGGGGACGCGUCCCCGGAUGAGUGUACCUGAAGAAAAAGCAUCGGCUAACUCCGUGCCAGCAGCCGCGGUAAUACGGAGGAUGCGAGCGUUAUCCGGAUUUAUUGGGGUUAAAGGGGGCGUAGACGGCAUGGCAAGUCUGAAGUGAAAGCCCGGGGCUCAACCGCGGGACUGCUUUGGAAACUG
rnacentral:rRNA from 1 species